CAGGGGUGGGAGUGGGGGGUGGGAAUGGUUUCAGGAUAAAACUGUUCCACCUCAGAUCAUCAGGCAUUAGUUAGAUUCUCAUAAGGAGUGUGCAAACUAGAUCCCUCACAUGCACAGUUCUCAAUAGGGUUCACGGACCAGUACCCCAUUACCGGUUUGUGGCCUGGGGUUGGGGACCCCUGACAUAGGCCACUCACUUAGAAGGGCUUCAUACAGAGUUUAAUGCUGUCCUGCCACCUUCUUGAAAUCUUAACAAUUUUUGAACAAGGGGCCAUAUAAGUUGUAUUUUACACUGGACCAUUCAAGUUGUACAGCUGGUCUGGACCUAGGCUCUUCCCUAGGAGCUCUGUUUCACAGGGAAUCAGCCAGGGAGUUGACAACUGCAGUUCAGUACGAUGGGGGUUGUGACAGAAGCAGGGUAGCCGUGAAAGAAGAACAGGACCUUGGCCAGUAUUCAGCUCACUUGGGUCAUCCUCCCCAGCUGUGCAACCUGCCCAGCUGCCAAUGACUUACCACUGUGCUCCUUGGUGGGAGGAUGGCCUUGGUUUAGCACCAGGGCCUGUAGCCCCAGACAGCAGCUGCAAACCCUGCCACCCUAAGAGGCCACUGCUAGGUCAUGUCAACACCAGGAAAUGUGUGUCAUUGGAGCCCUAAGCUGUUCUCAUGUCCUCCAACCCAGGACUCAUGUCCCUGAUCUCAUGUCCCCGAUCACCAGACUGCCAGUGGACUCUACUUUCUGCUGCCUGCCCAGACCCAGUCAACUUCCAGAAAAGGGCACAUAAAGUGAUCCACACUGAAAAGCAAUUGGCAGACAAAACCUAAUGGGCUAUUCAUCCAAAGGAAACUUGGGUUUUAUUAGGGGUAUCUGGUGUCCUCCUGGCCUGCAUUCUGACAUAUAAUAAGCAUCUAAGUCAUGACAAUUGAGUGAACAUACAAAAGGUAAAUACAUAUGGCAAAGCCUAGAAUUGGAAUUGGCAGUUUGAAGGCCAUUGGCCCAAGAACAGGGUAUUUUCGGUUGUGUUCUCUUUUCUUUCUUUUUUUUGGAUGAGUGCUGGAAGCCCCAACACAAUUGUUUGGGAAUAAAUGGAAGUGAGGAAUGGAGAAGUAAGGAGGUACCACUCUCAAGGAGGCUGUCAGUAGAGGGGACAAAGAGUGUGAGAGAGGAACAGAAGAACCAAGCAGGAGACUGGAAGAGGGAUUUACAAAUCUGGAGUCCUUCCAAAACAGGACAAGUAAGACAUGAGCAGUGACUUUCUACUCUCCAUCCAGCAGCCAACAAUAGACUUCGUCAUUCAGAUGGAGCUGCAGAGGUACAGACCUGAGAGAGCUGGAAGUCAUAGAGCCAAUCCCAUGUAUUACUGACGAGGUAACUAUGGCUCAGGGUGACUUGACCUGUAAGCCACAAGCUUGUGGGUGACCACUCCAGGCCCUGAAUGGAGGAUUUCACUCCAUCCCCCUGCCCCACAAGUGGCCUCUGAGAGACAGAGUACCUGAUGCCACCUUAUGUGGGAUAUUGUUUUUGCUGUCACGAAUUUCUGAAUCCCCUCUUUGUGGAAUAGAGAAAUCAAAGCCACCAUACGUUCAAGGGUAUCCACUAAAGAAGCCACAUGGUUACUUCAGCUAAAAAUAAAUUAAAGACCUAACAAUGAAUUAUCAUUUAUCUAAUCAUCUGGGAAUGAUGAAAUUAAUGUUUCGUAUCUACUAUUUUACAGUUAUAAAUUGCUUAGAAAGUAUAGAUAUUUUUCCCUCAUAAUUCUGCUUUCCCAUGAGUGCACAUGCAUACACACAAGACCCAACCACAGUAUCUUGACCGUGAAUAUAAUAAAUAAGGAAAUAACAAAUGUAGUAAGGUGAAGGAGGGGGUUCUGUCAGCCCAAGAAUGUUCUAGGCCUAGUGUUUGGUGGAGCCAACCAGCUCCUACAAGCCAGCGAAAACAAAGAAAAGUGCCUGGCCAUUUCAUUACAGAGUGCUUCCCAAUAAUCUAAUUCCUCCACCAUCAAAAUUUGGUCAGGGAACAUCACCAUUUUUAGAGAGAUGCUUUGUUUUGAUAAAACAACCCUUCUGUAUUAGUCUCUUCUCAUGCUGCUGAUCAAGACUUACCUGAGACUGGGUAAUUUAUAAACGAAAAGAGGUUUAGUGGACUCACAGUUCCAUGUGGCUGGGGAGGCCUCACAAUCAUGGUGGAGGGCAAAAGGCACGUCUUAUAUGGUGGCAGACAAGAGAGAGCUUGGGCAGGGAAACUCCCCUUUAUCAAACCAUCAAAUCUCGUGAGACUUAUUCACUAUCACAAGAACAGCACAGGAAAGACCCACCCCUAUGAUUCAAUUACCUCCCACCAGGUCCCUCCCAUGACAAAUGGGAAUUGUGGGAGCUACAAUUCAAGAGGAGAUUUGAGUGGGGACACAGCCAAACUAUAUCACCUUCUAAGCUUAUGUCUCACUAUUCACCCACAAAUAGGCUGUAAAGAGCCCAGCAUUUGCUUUCUAGCAAUGGUGUCAUACCAGCUUUGCUUUCCCUGCCUGCAGGGCCCUCCAUGCAUCUCUGUUUAAAGUCUAAAGCCAGAUCCAGCUUUCAUGCUGCCUACUGCAGAAAGACACCUCUGGUGUUUCUCAACCAGAGGAGCCUCCCC
rnacentral:lncRNA from 10 species